CAGUCGCCACGGUAAUACGAAGGGUGCAAGCGUCACUCGGAAUUACCGGGCGUAAAGCGUGUGUAGGUGGUUGUUUAAGUCUGUCGUGAAAGCCCUGGGCUCAACCUGGGAAUUGCGAUGGAUACUGGGCGACUAGAGUGCGGUAGAGGAUAGUGGAAUUUCCGGUGUAGCAGUGAAAUGCGUAGAGAUCGGAAGGAACGUCUGUGGCGAAGGCGACUAUCUGGGCCAACACUGACACUGAGACACGAAAGCGUGGGGAGCAAACAGGAUUAGAUACCCCCGUAGUCCCUGUCUCUUAUAC
rnacentral:rRNA from 1 species